rnacentral:rRNA from 1 species
UACGUAGGGUGCAGGCGUUAAUCGGAAUUACUGGGCGUAAAGCGUGCGCAGGCGGUUUGCUAAGACAGGUGUGAAAUCCCCGGGCUUAACCUGGGAACUGCGCUUGUUACUGGCAGGCUUGAGUGUGGCAGAGGAAGGUGGAAUUCCACGUGUAGCGGUUGAAAUGCGUAGAGAUGUGGAGGAACACCAAUGGCGAAGGCAGCCUUCUGGGCCAACACGUGACGCUCAUGCACGAAAGCGUGGGGAGCAAACAGG